rnacentral:lncRNA from 1 species
AUACAAAUAAAAGUUAUGUUGCAGCUAUACAAAAAUAUUUCUAUCACCUGUCCUUUAUACUCUAUUAAAUUUUCAGGAGCUCAUAUGCUAUAAAGUUUAAACAAAAGACACAUAGUUAUAUACUCUUUUAUAAGAUUUGACCACUCUUUUGAAUAGAUCUGAUAAUGUAUAAUUAAGCAUGCAAGUCUCAAUCUCUGUAGACCUGUAAUAUAUUAAUAAAUGCAAUUCUCUGUUGAAUUGUAGCAUGAUCCAUGCAAUUAUCUAAAACAUCAAAUAAAUUUCCUACUUGUAUAAAUUAAGAUAUUCAAACCAUCAACAUUAACCAGUUUCAUCACCAUGUGAUUUGGAUUUAUUAAAUAUACAAUAAUUUUCGUGCUAUCGAUGACAAAUCAAAUUCACUCAUAACCUCUUCAACUCAUGAGUUUUCCCACUUGGUAUCAGCUGUCUUUUUUAUAUAACAUCAGGAAAAACUAUAAGAAGCUAUUUUGGGUGUGUCAUUGCCCUAGAAUAUCUUCCGUUUUUUUUUUAAAUAUAGAUAUCUAAUAAAUACAAUUUUCUGGGUUCUCCAUAAUAGUCUGUAUAGCAGUUUGCUGAAGUAAUUGCUGAGCAAAUCUACUGACAAAAAUAGUCAAAUAAAAAAUACAGAAAUGUUAAAUAAAACAAAGAACAUAUAGCUUUAUAAUAUAAAGAAUACUGUAAGACAAAAGCAGAUUGAUAAAAAGAUUCUGUAAAAUAUAGGCACCAGGUUUUCUUUGGCUUCAUG